UACGUAGGGUGCGAGCGUUGUCCGGAAUUAUUGGGCGUAAAGGGCUCGUAGGCGGUUUGUCGCGUCGGGAGUGAAAACACCGGGCUUAACUCGGUGCUUGCUUUCGAUACGGGCAGACUAGAGGCAUGCAGGGGAGAACGGAAUUCCUGGUGUAGCGGUGAAAUGCGCAGAUAUCAGGAAGAACACCAAUGGCGAAAGCAGCUCUCUGGGACGGUACUGACGCUGAGACGCGAAAGCGUGGGGAGCGAACAGG
rnacentral:rRNA from 1 species